AAAAAAAAAGAACACGCAAAACUGCUUCUUCUCCUCCAAGCCUUAAAAAAUCAUCCCCGAUCCCUUCUCUCUGGGCGGAUCUGGAGACACACACAAAGCCAUCGUUGGCUUCUUCAUUAAGCAGCUGAAAAGAGAUUUAAACGGGCUCCUUCUCAAAAACUCAAAGGACUAUCAUCUCCACUUUCAAUAGAGACGAGGGAUUUUGAUUCCCAAUUUCAGCGUAACAACAACUCCUUUUCCGGCGAGCUUCGAGUCGUAGGACGUUGUUGUCCGAUUUAGCUGAAUCGAGGUUUGGUUGCAUGUUGAGGUCUCGUUGUUGUCGCCGGCGCCGAGGUUCCAACUCUUGGUUCAUUGUUCGAUGUAGUUGCUGUCCCUGUUUUUUUGGGUCGCUUGUUCUGUGUUCUAAGUAGCAAUUCUGAAGUUUUACAUUGUUCUUGAGGUAUGGAUUCUAAUUUCCAGCACUGUAAUUAUCACUUAGAUGAUAUAUUGGAAUAUAAAUUGCAGUAAUUGUUUGAAAUGUGUCUGCUUUGAUUUUGAUUUUGUCUAAGUUGGACUGUAACUUUGGAUUUCACAUCUAGACAUAUAACUCUUAUUGCAUCUCAGAUGCUGCUAAAUCUCGCAGGCUUGCAAGUUACAGUGUCCAUGAAGUCAAUAACAUUCACUUUGUUUGCUUAUGACAAUUAAGCCUCAUGCUUAUUGGCCUAAUAGGUAAAAUUGCUUGUGAAGGUCUUUUAUAAUCAAAAGAAAGUCCAAACAAUAAAAAAUUCCUAGUGACAGAGUAUUGAUGCUAACUUCGUGUAAUUGUUUUGACACUACCUGUUAUUAUGAAGUUCAUGAGAAGUUGAUUAAAAUUCCAAUUCUUGUAGAAAUUUGGCUAGGAUUUUAAGUGGUGCCUCUGUUAUUUCAUUAUUUAAUGUUCUAUAUUUAAUGGCUCUUGUCAUAGUAAGGGUUAUUGCUCAGAAUUUUGCAAUACUACAAGGUUUUCUUUUAGUUCAUGUUGACUGUCAAUGCCACAAUAUUGCUUCAGCUUACU
rnacentral:lncRNA from 1 species